rnacentral:rRNA from 1 species
UACGUAGGGGGCAAGCGUUGUCCGGAAUUAUUGGGCGUAAAGAGCGUGUAGGCGGUCCGGUAAGUCCGCUGUGAAAGUCCAGGGCUCAACCCUGGAAUGCCGGUGGAUACUGUCGGGCUAGAGUCCGGAAGAGGAGAGUGGAAUUCCGUGGUGUAGCGGUGAAAUGCGCAGAUAUCAGGAAGAACACCCGUGGCGAAGGCGGCUCUCUGGGACGGUACUGACGCUGAGACGCGAAAGCGUGGGGAGCGAACAGG